UACGUAGGGGGCUAGCGUUGUCCGGAAUCAUUGGGCGUAAAGCGCGUGUAGGCGGCCCGAUAAGUCCGCUGUGAAAGUCCAGGGCUCAACCCUGGGAUGCCGGUGGAUACUGUCGGGCUCGAGUCCGGAAGAGGCGAGUGGAAUUCCUGGUGUAGCGGUGAAAUGACGCAGAUAUCAGGAGGAACACCAAUGGCGAAGGCAGCACUCUGGGACGGUACUGACGACUGAGGCGCGGAAAGCGUGGGGAGCGAACAGG
rnacentral:rRNA from 1 species